rnacentral:rRNA from 1 species
CGACGAGUCGAGUUGUUUGGGAAUGCAGCUCUAAAUGGGAGGUAAAUUUCUUCUAAAGCUAAAUACUGGCCAGAGACCGAUAGCGCACAAGUAGAGUGAUCGAAAGAUGAAAAGCACUUUGGAAAGAGAGUCAAAUAGCACGUGAAAUUGUUGAAAGGGAAGCGCUUGCAGCCAGACUUGCCUGUAGUUGCUUAUCCGGACUUUUGUCCGGUGCACUCUUCUGCGGGCAGGCCAGCAUCAGUCUAGGCGGUUGGAUAAAGGUCUCUGUCAUGUACCUCUCUUCGGGGAGGCCUUAUAGGGGAGACGACAUGCAACCAGCCUGGACUGAGGUCCGCGCAUCUGCUAGGAUGCUGGCGUAAUGGCUGUAAGCGGCCCGUCUUGAAACACGGACCAAGGAGUCUAACAUCUAUGCGAGUGUUUGGGUGUCAAGCCCAGACGCGUAAUGAAAGUGAACGGAGGUGGGAACCCUUUGGGUGCACCAUCGACCGAUCCUGAUGUCUUCGGAUGGAUUUGAGUAAGAGCAUGGCUGUUGGGACCCGAAAGAUGGUGAACUAUGCUUGAAUAGGGUGAAGCCAGAGGAAACUCUGGUGGAGGCUCGCAGCGGUUCUGACGUGCAAAUCGAUCGUCAAAUUUGGGCAUAGGGGCGAAAGACUAAUCG